UAUAUGUAUUUAUAUUAAUAAAAAUAAUAAAUAUACAUUAUUUAAAUAAAUAAACUUAAAUUCUCAAUAUUCUCUUAAAUUCUCUUAUAGUCUCUUAAAAAAAUUAAAUUACCGUAAUUUCCUUAGGGAAAUUACCCCAACUUAAAUUCUCGAGAAUUUAAGAACACUAAGGAGGAACAACUCGAGUAUUUCCGAUGGUCCCGAUUUUAACGGACGAUUGGGUGUACUACCCCGAGGCGCACUAGUCUUCUGCACACCUCAACACAUGCAUAACUGUGUAUAUUUUAUAUAUAUUCCAUCUGACAGCUGUAACAGCUGCAAGUUUUUAUUAUCCCCUCAUAUUGAAUAAUAAGUGUAAAUAUUAAGUGAACUUAAUAUUUUUAAUACAGAAAUUUCUAAUAAAAGUGAGAAGUGUAUUUAACACUAGUGUUUUUAAUUAUGAUUCGUAUUGAUGAAGAGUGUUAAUUUAAAUAAUAAAAGUUGUAAUGGGAUUUUCAUAACCAUUUUUUAUCUUACAAUAAAAAAAGGCAUUGUAUUUGAGGUUAACCAUAACCUCCAAAGAGGAAUUUUUCCAACUGAACUAAGUUUUCGGAUUUAACGCUCUACGAUAUUUCAAAGAUUUUAAAAGAGAUUUAUAAAUUAUAAAAACUAAUAAAGAUGAAAUCAAGCAAAAAUAUUUCAGAAGAUACAAACUCUUUUAUGGCAUUUCAUUUAGUGUUUUCAAAAUCAACUGUCACAGAACUUGCACAUAACCAAGAAAAUUGUAAACAAAACAAACACACAUUAUUUAAAGAUACACAGAUAGAGUUUAUACAGUUAUGCAUGUGUUGCGAUGUGCAGAAGACUAGUGCGCCUCGGGGUAGUACGCCCAGUCGUCCGUUAAAAACGGGACCACUGCUCUCUAUGAACAAGCAGGCGAGUUGGUUCUCCUGUAUAUAGUCUUCUUGCGGCAGGCAUAAAUUCACGUAAUUCUCCGCUAGGGAAAAACACUACGUAACUCUUCGUAUAAAAACGCAUGCAUUUAUUUGCUUAUUUCCGUAAAGAAUUUUAUCACAUGCAAAAAAUCUAAAGAACGAAAUAGAAUGGCAACCAAACAUGUGCUGCUUUUUGAAAAGGAAUAAUAGUUAAAAUUACAGAUGUUGAAAUAGUCUGCGAAAAUGAGGCAAAUGUCACGUAGGACACAAAAAAUUAGAAUUGGAAAGAAACAGAGUUUAUUUCUAUAAAAAAUAGCCUUUUGAGAAAUACAUAUUUCCGAACUUUGAAACCGUUGGGAAAACCCAAACAUGUGGUAGCAAUAAAAAAGGGACCGUGGGACUCGGACCUUACUCGAGUCCCCGGUAUAAAAAAAGGGUAUUGUAUAGUCAGGAAAAACCUAUGACUCAUCCUUCGUAUAUAAGAAAAAGAAAUGAGCUUUCUAUUUAAUUACAAUAUUCAAAUUUGAUAUGAAUUUCUUAUUUUUAAUUCUAUGUAUAUCACUAACAAUUUUAUAAAACAACGAUUAUAAAUUGAU